rnacentral:rRNA from 1 species
CCUUGUUUAACAAAAACAUGUCUUUUUGUUUAAAAUUUAAAGUCUGACCUGCCCAAUGAUUAUUGAUUUAAUGGCCGCAGUAUUUUGAUUGUGCAAAGGUAGCAUAAUCAUUAGUUUUUUAAUUGAAAACUGGAAUGAAGGGUUUAAUAAGAAAAAUUCUGUCUCUAAAUUAAUAUUAUAAUUUUAUUUUUAAGUUAAAAAGCUUAAAUUUAUUAAAAAGACGAGAAGACCCUAUAGAGUUUAAUUAAUUAGUAAAUAAAAAUUUUUUAGUAAAAUUAUAUUUUAUUUAUUAAUUUGUUUUGUUGGGGUGAUGAAAAAAUUUAUUUAACUUUUUAUUUAUUUAUAUACAAAUUAGUAAAUUUUUGAUCCAAUUUUAUUGAUUAAAAGAAAAAAUUACCUUAGGGAUAACAGCGUAAUUUUUUUUAGAGUUCUAAUCGAAGAAAAAGUUUGCGACCUCGAUGUUGGAUUAAAAUUAAAUUUUGGUGAAGAAGUUAAGAAUUUAGGUCUGUUCGACCUUUGAAAUUAUACAUGAUCUGAGUU